CAGUCGAACGAAGCGAUACGAAGGAAGUUUUCGGAUGGAAUUUGUAUUGACUGAGUGGCGGACGGGUGAGUAACGCGUGGGUAACCUGCCUCAUACAGGGGGAUAACAGUUAGAAAUGACUGCUAAUACCGCAUAAGCGCACAGAAUUGCAUGAUUCAGUGUGAAAAACUCCGGUGGUAUGAGAUGGACCCGCGUCUGAUUAGCUGGUUGGUGGGGUAACGGCUCACCAAGGCGACGAUCAGUAGCCGACCUGAGAGGGUGAUCGGCCACAUUGGGACUGAGACACGGCCCAAACUCCUACGGGAGGCAGCAGUGGGGAAUAUUGCACAAUGGGGGAAACCCUGAUGCAGCAACGCCGCGUGAGUGAAGAAGUAUUUCGAUAUGUAAAGCUCUAUCAGCAGGGAAGAAGAUGACGGUACCUGAUUAAGAAGCCCCGGCUAACUACGUGCCAGCAGCCGCGGUAAUACGUAGGGGGCAAGCGUUAUCCGGAUUUACUGGGUGUAAAGGGAGCGUAGACGGCAUAGCAAGUCUGAAGUGAAAGCCCAGGGCUCAACCCUGGGACUGCUUUGGAAACUGUUAAGCUGGAGUGCUGGAGAGGUAAGCGGAAUUCCUAGUGUAGCGGUGAAAUGCGUAGAUAUUAGGAAGAACACCAGUGGCGAAGGCGGCUUACUGGACAGUAACUGACGUUGAGGCUCGAAAGCGUGGGGAGCAAACAGG
rnacentral:rRNA from 1 species